GUCUCCAGUGAGGCGUGCUCUGUUCCAGGGGCACGUGUUGUUAGAGACAUUGGGAAGGCUCUACCAUGGCUCAUGAAAGCAGAAGACUGCUAUCGUUUUACUGUCGUUCAGGCUGUGUCCCAGGAUGCUGCAAUGAGGAAACUAAAGAAUGUUAAAAAGGACUUUUGUGUCCCUUGGAAAGAUGUUGAAGGGAUCAGGGGUGCAGGCAGAGUUCUCCUCUGUCCUUCCGAUGGGUAGCUGGGACCCAGGAAGAUGGAGGAGAACAUCAGGUGAACGACUGGCUGGGGGGGUGGUGUCCUGAUCGGGGCUUUGGGUAUUUUGAUCUCGGGCAGGCCUUUGAGAAACUGGGCAUGUGGGCUCCUGAUGGACUCCGACUGAGCAAGCGGGGCAGAAGUGUGCUGGGGAACAAGCUCUCUGGAUUGAUUACCAGGGCUUUAAACUAGGUCCAGAGGGGGAAAAAAAAAAAAGUGUCCACAGUUUACAGGCCAGUCUGGCCUGGCCCCGUGACUGGUGAGGCGGGAGACCCACAGACCCACGCCCCGAGAAAGGGGGGAAGGGGGAGAGGGGGAAGGAUAGGGAGAUAGCAGAGGGAUCUAUUAAACAGAACAGCAGCGAUGUUCUGAUGGAGAACAUUAAUUUACUACGUAUGAUAUCAGAAUGCAAGACUAAACAAUAUAAUACAAUACAAUUGGAAUUGCUUGGAUCAACCCAUGGGAAAUGGCCGGGCUGUGUUUCCACCCCCAGGGCAAACGGUUCCAAGUAUACUGAACGCCCCUCCAGGGGAAAGCAAACUGUGGCCUACAUUCUGUGGCCAAAGGAAUAGCAAAGAAGGCAUUAGCAAUGCCAGUGGUGGCAUACCACUUGGCUGCUUGUGACUCCAGUUCAUACUGGAGUUCUAGCAUGUCUGGCACAGCAGCACUCAGUGGGGCUGUGACUGCAUUCAGGCCACGGUAGUCUACCCUCGGCCUCCAUUCUCCACUGGCUUUGCGCACUGGCCAUCUGGGACUGUUAAAAGGUGAGUGAGUUUUGCUGAUCACUCCUUGACACUCUAGUUGACAAAUCAACUUAUGAAUUGGUAGCAAGGAAUCCCUGUAGGUGCGGUGCUGCCGUCUCUGCACCGUUUUUGUAGCAAUUGGUACCUGCUGCUAUUUCAGCCGUAGCAACGCCACAACAGACAGAUCUUCUGAUAGGCCAGGCAAUGCAGACAACUGUUUAACACCUUCUGUGUCUACAGCAGCUAUUCCAAAGGCCCAUCGAUACCCUUUGGGAUCCUUGAAAUAUCCCCUUCUGAGGUAAUCGAUACCAAGUAUGCAGGGAGCCCCUGGGCCAGUCACAAUAGGAUGCUUUUGCCAGUCUUU
rnacentral:lncRNA from 1 species